UGCUUGUCCUCAAGCAAACAAGAAAGCUUAGCCGGCGGAAAGGUUGGAAAAACCUUGGGAAUUCUCUUAGUAUCAGAGACCAUGUCCUAAAAGAUAUCAUGCGGACGCAUAAAGACAGAGACAACACGUUAGAACAUCCUUACUAUAGACUCAAAACUUUCACCAUCCUUAUCCUUCCAUCUCGAACCUAUAAGAGAACUCUGAAAUCACGUU
rnacentral:lncRNA from 1 species